rnacentral:rRNA from 1 species
AAAUUGAAGAGUUUGAUCAUGGCUCAGAUUGAACGCUGGCGGCAGGCCUAACACAUGCAAGUCGAACGGUAGCACAGAGAGCUUGCUCUCGGGUGACGAGUGGCGGACGGGUGAGUAAUGUCUGGGAAACUGCCCGAUGGAGGGGGAUAACUACUGGAAACGGUAGCUAAUACCGCAUAACGUCGCAAGACCAAAGUGGGGGACCUUCGGGCCUCACACCAUCGGAUGUGCCCAGAUGGGAUUAGCUAGUAGGUGGGGUAACGGCUCACCUAGGCGACGAUCCCUAGCUGGUCUGAGAGGAUGACCAGCCACACUGGAACUGAGACACGGUCCAGACUCCUACGGGAGGCAGCAGUGGGGAAUAUUGCACAAUGGGCGCAAGCCUGAUGCAGCCAUGCCGCGUGUAUGAAGAAGGCCUUCGGGUUGUAAAGUACUUUCAGCGAGGAGGAAGGCGUUGUGGUUAAUAACCACAGCGAUUGACGUUACUCGCAGAAGAAGCACCGGCUAACUCCGUGCCAGCAGCCGCGGUAAUACGGAGGGUGCAAGCGUUAAUCGGAAUUACUGGGCGUAAAGCGCACGCAGGCGGUUUGUUAAGUCAGAUGUGAAAUCCCCGGGCUCAACCUGGGAACUGCAUUUGAAACUGGCAAGCUUGAGUCUCGUAGAGGGGGGUAGAAUUCCAGGUGUAGCGGUGAAAUGCGUAGAGA